rnacentral:rRNA from 1 species
CUCUUCCCAUUCCGAACAGAGAAGUUAAGCCUCGUCACGCCGAUGGUACUGCGUAAUUGUGGGAGAGUAGGUAGCCGCCGUUU